GACGAACGCUGGCGGCGUGCCUAAUACAUGCAAGUAGAACGCACAGUUUAUACCGUAGCUUGCUACACCAUAGACUGUGAGUUGCGAACGGAUGAGUAACGCGUAGGUAACCUGCCUGGUAGCGGGGGAUAACUAUUGGAAACGAUAGCUAAUACCGCAUAAUAUUAAUUAUUGCAUGAUAAUUAAUUGAAAGGUGCAAUUGCACCACUACCAGAUGGACCUGCGUUGUAUUAGCUAGUAGGUGAGGUAACGGCUCACCUAGGCGACGAUACAUAGCCGACCUGAGAGGGUGAUCGGCCACACUGGGACUGAGACACGGCCCAGACUCCUACGGGAGGCAGCAGUAGGGAAUCUUCGGCAAUGGACGAAAGUCUGACCGAGCAACGCCGCGUGAGUGAAGAAGGUUUUCGGAUCGUAAAGCUCUGUUGUAAGAGAAGAACGGGUGUGAGAGUGGAAAGUUCACACUGUGACGGUAUCUUACCAGAAAGGGACGGCUAACUACGUG
rnacentral:rRNA from 1 species